UACGGGGGGUGCAAGCGUUGUCCGGAAUCAUUGGGCGUAAAGCGUUCGUAGGCGGUAUAUCAAGUCUGGUGUUAAAGCCCGGGGCUCAACUCCGGUUCGGCACUGGAUACUGGUAAACUAGAAUGUGGUAGAGGUAAGGGGAAUUCCUGGUGUAGCGGUGAAAUGCGUAGAUAUCAGGAGGAACAUCGGUGGCGAAAGCGCCUUACUGGGCCAUUAUUGACGCUGAGGAACGAAAGCCAGGGGAGCAAAUGGG
rnacentral:rRNA from 1 species